ensembl:lncRNA
AUGGUAUCCGGGUGCUUUCUGCGGGCAGCAAGGAUCCUACCUGAGAUAUUCCAGCUGCCUCUUGUCCUGAAGGAGGUGGAGACCAUUUUCCCCCAGCCCUUCCUGGCCCUCCUCUUGCAAGCGUCCUUCACCACGGAGCAGACGGAGCAGGAGGUGGAAAUCUUCUGGGUGGAGCACCAGCAGGGCCAGCUCACUCCCAGCAGGUGCCACAUCCCCACCCCCCCCUGCACCCAGGGACUCAGUGUUGGGGCUCCCGCUGCGACUCGCACCGUUCUCCUCCCGCAGGUCCGCGGUGCGGGCCUUGAAGCUGCUGCUCUGCAGCGGGGCGGCUGGGACGCGCUUCUCAGCGCCGUGACCCACCUCCAGGGUGUGCAGGUGGUGGCCAGGGUGAUGAGGGAACUGCCUGGAGCUCUGCGUGCCCCCAUCUUCCACCAGCUGGUUGAGCUGCUCAGCAACAGCUUUUACUCCUGGGAGAUGGUGGCCAUAGUCUUCCUCACUGAGGCAAGGACAAUGCUCAUCUUCCUGCAGUGCAUCACAGAGCAGCUGCAGGAUGCAGACAGCGACGCCCAUGCCAUUGUACUGCCAAUACUCAGCAACCUGCUGCAGCUCCUGGAGGGCGAUGAGCUCAGCCUCAUGGCUCUGGAGCUGGCCAGCAAGCUCCCAGCGCUCUUUAAUGAGAUAAGGAUGGGAGGGAGCCCAGCACACUAAGGAUUUGGCAACGACCCCAGUGUGCCCAUGCCUGCUGCCCUGUGACAGCACACCAGGGAACUUCCUGGCUGGUCGCCUGUUCCAGGCUCUGUGUGUCCCUGGGCAGACUUCCUGCAGGGCAGAGCUUGUGCACUUUGGAGCAGUUUUGGGGCCAUCCUCAAGAUCUGCCUGCAGCCUCUCAGCUCAGAGAUUCUGCUCCCAUGUGGUUGGCGGUGCUGGCCCUGCUCCGUUGGGCUUGGAGCUGCUGACACUGACAUCCUUCCCUCCUCCUCCACAGGAGUCCAGCACGGUGUGGCAGCUCUCCAUCCACCUCUUCCUCGAAACGCUGAGCUUUGUGGAGGGCACAGGAAAGAGGAAGAUGAGGAAGGAGGUGUACAGGAGCCUGGUCCUGCUGCAUUUGCACCUGCACAAUGAGGAAGAGAGCGUGGUCGAGGUGGGAAUUGCGUUCAUUUGGGGGAGGGCGAUGCUGGCCCCGUGGUGCCCCCCAAACACCAAGAGUAUUGCAGCCGGUGGCAGCGUCAGCCCCUGCUGCUGCAUCCUCCCUGCGGAGGGGCUCUGGGGGCUCUGGAGGGGCUCUGCAAGCACACAGCUGUCAUCGUGCCUCUGUUCCUCUGUUACCUCAGGCCUUCAGAGAGUGCAGCAUGACCCCAGUCCAUCCGUCUCUUUGCUGGCCCUUCAGACACUGAAGAUCCUGAAGGAAACGAGGCCACCUCCACCACCGAGAGACUCUGGGCAGCGCUCCUCCAGGCUCCGCAGCGCGUGGAGGAGGUGCUGCUCCUCCCAGGCAGACAGCUGAGCACCCUGGAAAGCUCCCGGCAUCUCCUCCUGCCCGCUGCUCAGCUCCGCUCCUCGGGCACAUCCCUUCCCCGUUGCUGUGCCGCUCCUCAGCCCGCGGUGCCAGCUACUUCAGCACCAUUGCCUGUCUUCUCUCGGUGGGAAACGGGAAAACAACCCAGGAGAUCAGCACUGCCCGGAGAGGGACGGGACGUGCAGCGCUCCCUGCCAGCACCACACGCUUUCGGUCACUGCCAGCAAAGCACCAGCUGCUCUGCCGGGCUGCAAAACGGGAUGAUUAAUAAAGCUGGUGAAUUUUACA